rnacentral:rRNA from 1 species
GACAGAGGUGCCAAGCGUUAGGCGGAAUCACUGGGCUUAAAGCGUGUGUAGGCGGACUCGUAAGUACCUUGUGAAAUCCCACGGCUCAACCGUGGAACUGCUUGGUAUACUGGUUGUCUUGGGCCAUCUAGGGGCUACUGGAACAAACGGUGGAGCGGUGAAAUGCGUAGAUAUCGUUUGGAACGCCAAUGGUGAAAACAAGUAGCUGGGGAUGUGCCGACGCUGAGACACGAAAGCCAGGGGAGCGAACGGG